rnacentral:rRNA from 1 species
GACGAACGCUGACGGCGUGCUUAAUACAUGCAAGUCAACUGAACUUAAGAUAGCAAUAUUUUAAGGGAGGUGGCGCACGGGUGAGUAACACGUAGGUAAUCUGCCUUUAGGACUGACAUAACCCAGAGAAAUCUGGGCUAAUAUCAGAUGAUGCAGCGGCUCGACAUCGAGACAGUUGUUAAACCUUCGGGGCCUAGAGAUGAGCCUGCGUCUGAUUAGGUAGUUGGCGGGGUAAUGGCCCACCAAGCCAUCGAUCAGUAGCUGGUCUGAGAGGAUGAUCAGCCACACUGGAACUGAGACACGGCCCAGACUCCUACGGGAGGCAGCAGUGGGGAAUUUUGGACAAUGGGGGCAACCCUGAUCCAGCCAUUCCGCGUGAGUGAAGAAGGC